GGGUGUCAGAGUGCCCCUCAGUGCUGCGGGGCCUGCCCACCCGUGCUCCUUCCCCAGGGGCCUGGAUCAUCACAGGGGGGUCCCACGCCGGCGUCAUGAAGCAGGUAGGCGAGGCAGUGCGGGACUUCAGCCUGAGCAGCAGCUACAAGGAAGGCGAGCUCAUCACCAUCGGAGUCGCCACCUGGGGCACUGUCCACCGCCGCGAGGGCCUGAUCCAUCCCACGGGCAGCUUCCCCGCCGAGUACAUACUGGAUGAGGAUGGCCAAGGGAACCUGACCUGCCUAGACAGCAACCAUUCUCACUUCAUCCUCGUGGACGACGGGACCCACGGCCAGUACGGGGUGGAGAUUCCUCUGAGGACCAGGCUGGAGAAGUUCAUAUCGGAGCAGACCAAGGAAAGAGGAGGUGUGGCCAUCAAGAUCCCCAUCGUGUGCGUGGUGCUGGAGGGCGGCCCGGGCACGUUGCACACCAUCUACAACGCCACCACCAACGGCACCCCCUGCGUGGUCGUGGAGGGCUCGGGCCGCGUGGCCGACGUCAUUGCCCAGGUGGCCAACCUGCCUGUCUCGGACAUCACUAUCUCCCUGAUCCAGCAGAAACUGAGCGUGUUCUUCCAGGAGAUGUUUGAGACCUUCACGGAAAGCAGGAUUGUCGAGUGGACCAAAAAGAUCCAAGAUAUCGUCCGGAGGCGGCAGCUGCUGACUGUCUUCCGGGAAGGCAAGGAUGGUCAGCAGGACGUGGAUGUUGCCAUCUUGCAGGCCUUGCUGAAAGCCUCACGGAGCCAAGACCACUUUGGCCACGAGAACUGGGACCACCAGCUGAAACUGGCAGUGGCAUGGAAUCGCGUGGACAUUGCCCGCAGUGAGAUCUUCACGGAUGAGUGGCAGUGGAAGCCUUCAGAUCUGCACCCCACGAUGACAGCUGCACUCAUCUCCAACAAGCCUGAGUUUGUGAAGCUCUUCCUGGAGAACGGGGUGCAGCUGAAGGAGUUCGUCACCUGGGACACCUUGCUCUACCUGUACGAGAACCUGGACCCCUCCUGCCUGUUCCACAGCAAGCUGCAGAAGGUGCUGGCGGAGGAGCCCGAGUGCCCGGCUUGCGCGCCCGCGGCGCCCCGCCUGCAGAUGCACCACGUGGCCCAGGUGCUGCGGGAGCUGCUGGGGGACUUCACACAGCCGCUUUAUCCCCGGCCCCCGCACAACGGCCGGCCGCGGCUCCUGCUGCCCGUUCCCCACGUCAAGCUCAACGUGCAGGGAGUGAGCCUCUGGUCCCUCUACAAGCGUUCCUCAGGCCAUGUGACCUUCACCAUGGACCCCAUCCGUGACCUUCUCAUUUGGGCCAUUGUCCAGAACCGUCGGGAGCUGGCAGGAAUCAUCUGGGCACAGAGCCAGGACUGCAUCGCAGCGGCCUUGGCCUGCAGCAAGAUCCUGAAGGAACUGUCCAAGGAGGAGGAGGACACGGACAGCUCGGAGGAGAUGCUGGCGCUGGCGGAGGAGUAUGAGCACAGAGCCAUCGGGGUCUUCACCGAGUGCUACCGGAAGGACGAAGAGAGAGCCCAGAAACUGCUCACCCGCGUGUCCGAGGCCUGGGGGAAGACCACCUGCCUGCAGCUCGCCCUGGAGGCCAAGGACAUGAAGUUUGUGUCUCACGGGGGCAUCCAGGCCUUCCUGACCAAGGUGUGGUGGGGCCAGCUCUCCGUGGACAAUGGGCUGUGGCGUGUGACCCUGUGCAUGCUGGCCUUCCCGCUGCUCCUCACCGGCCUCAUCUCCUUCAGGGAGAAGAGGCUGCAGGAGGUGGGCACCCCCGCGGCCCGUGCCCGUGCCUUCUUCACCGCACCCGUGGUGGUCUUCCACCUGAACAUCCUCUCCUACUUCGCCUUCCUCUGCCUGUUCGCCUACGUGCUCAUGGUGGACUUCCAGCCUGUGCCCUCCUGGUGCGAGUGUGCCAUCUACCUCUGGCUCUUCUCCUUGGUGUGCGAGGAGAUGCGGCAGCUCUUCUAUGACCCUGACGAGUGUGGGCUGAUGAAGAAGGCAGCCUUGUACUUCAGUGACUUCUGGAAUAAGCUGGACGUCGGUGCAAUCUUGCUCUUCGUGGCAGGGCUGACCUGCAGGCUCAUCCCGGUGACGCUGUACCCCGGGCGUGUCAUCCUUUCUUUGGACUUCAUCCUGUUCUGCCUCCGGCUCAUGCACAUUUUUACCAUCAGUAAGACGCUGGGGCCCAAGAUCAUCAUUGUGAAGCGGAUGAUGAAGGACGUCUUCUUUUUCCUCUUCCUGCUGGCUGUGUGGGUGGUGUCCUUCGGGGUGGCCAAGCAGGCCAUCCUCAUCCACAACGAGCGCCGGGUGGACUGGCUGUUCCGAGGGGCCGUCUACCACUCCUACCUCACCAUCUUCGGGCAGAUCCCGGGCUACAUCGACGGUGUGAACUUCAACCCGGAGCACUGCAGCCCCAACGGCACCGACCCCUACAAGCCCAAGUGCCCCGAGAGCGACGCGACGCAGCAGAGGCCGGCCUUCCCCGAGUGGCUGACGGUCCUCCUACUCUGCCUCUACCUGCUCUUCACCAACAUCCUGCUGCUCAACCUCCUCAUCGCCAUGUUCAACUACACCUUCCAGCAGGUGCAGGAGCACACGGACCAGAUCUGGAAGUUCCAGCGCCACGACCUGAUCGAGGAGUACCACGGCCGCCCCGCCGCGCCACCCCCCUUCAUCCUCCUCAGCCACCUGCAGCUCUUCAUCAAGAGGGUGGUCCUGAAGACUCCGGCCAAGAGGCACAAGCAGCUCAAGAACAAGCUGGAGAAGAACGAGGAGGCGGCCCUGCUAUCCUGGGAGAUCUACCUGAAGGAGAACUACCUCCAGAACCGGCAGUUCCAGCAAAAGCAGCGGCCCGAGCAGAAGAUCGAGGACAUCAGCAAUAAGGUUGACGCCAUGGUGGACCUGCUGGACCUGGACCCACUGAAGAGGAUGGGCUCCAUGGAGCAGAGGUUGGCCUCCCUGGAGGAGCAGGUGGCCCAGACAGCCCGAGCCCUGCACUGGAUCGUGAGGACGCUGCGGGCCAGCGGCUUCAGCUCAGAGGCGGACGUCCCCACUCUGGCCUCCCAGAAGGCCGUGGAGGAGCCGGAUGCUGAGCCGGGAGGCAGGAAGAAGACGGAGGAGCCGGGUGACAGCUACCACGUGAAUGCCCGGCACCUCCUCUACCCCAACUGCCCUGUCACACGCUUCCCCGUGCCCAACGAGAAGGUGCCCUGGGAGACGGAGUUCCUGAUCUAUGACCCACCCUUUUACACGGCAGAGAGGAAGGACGCGGCCGCCAUGGACCCCGUGGGAGACACCCUGGAGCCGCUGUUCACGAUCCAGUACAACGUGGUGGAUGGCCUGAGGGACCGCCGGAGCUUCCACGGGCCGUACACAGUGCAGGCCGGGUUGCCCCUGAACCCCAUGGGCCGCACAGGACUGCGUGGGCGUGGGAGCCUCAGCUGCUUCGGACCCAACCACACGCUGUACCCCAUGGUCACGCGGUGGAGGCGGAACGAGGACGGAGCCAUCUGCAGGAAGAGCAUAAAGAAGAUGCUGGAAGUGCUGGUGGUGAAGCUCCCUCUCUCCGAGCACUGGGCCCUGCCUGGGGGCUCCCGGGAGCCAGGGGAGACGCUACCUCGGAAGCUGAAGCGGAUCCUCCGGCAGGAGCACUGGCCGUCUUUUGAGAACUUGCUGAAGUGCGGCAUGGAGGUGUACAAAGGCUACAUGGAUGACCCGAGGAACACGGACAAUGCCUGGAUCGAGACGGUGGCCGUCAGCGUCCACUUCCAGGACCAGAACGACGUGGAGCUGAACAGGCUGAACUCUAACCUGCACGCCUGCGACUCGGGGGCCUCCAUCCGAUGGCAGGUGGUGGACAGGCGCAUCCCACUCCAUGCGAACCACAAGACCCUCCUCCAGAAGGCAGCCGCUGAGUUCGGGGCUCACUACUGACUGUGCCCUCAGGCUGGGCGGCUCCAGUCCAUAGACGUUCCCCGCAGAAACCAGGGCUUCUCUCUCCUGAGCCUGGCCAGGACUCAGGCUGUUCCUGGGCCCUGCGCAUGAUGGGGUUUGGUGGACCCACUGUCCCUCACGGCUGCCGCAAGUCUGCUGCAGAUGACCUCAUGAACUGGAAGGGGUCAAGGUGACCCGGGAGGAGAGCUCAAGACAGGGCACAGGCUACUCAGAGUUGAGGGGCCCCUGGGACCCUUGGCCAUCAGGCGAGGGGCUGGGCCUGUGCAGCUGGGCCCUUGGCCAGAGUCCACUCCCUUCCUGGCUGUGUCACCCCGAGCAGCUCAUCCACCGUGGAGGUCAUCGGCCUGAGGCAAGUUCCCCAGAGAGUCGGGGUCCCCUGUGGCCCCCUCAGGCCUAUGUCUGUGAGGAAGGGGCCCUGCCAUUCUCCCCAAGAGGGCCUCCAUGUUUCGAGGUGCCUCAACAUGGAGCCUUGCCUGGCCUGGGCUAGGGGCACUGUCUGAACUCCUGACUGUCAGGAUAAACUCCGUGGGGGUACAGGAGCCCAGACAAAGCCCAGGCCUGUCAAGAGACUCAGAGGGCCCCUGCCAGGGUUGGCCCCAGGGACCCUGGGACGAGGCUGCAGAAGCUCUCCCUCCCUACUCCCUGGGAGCCACGUGCUGGCCACGCCCAGGAAGGAGGGACGGCAUGGGCAAGAGGCGGGGACGUGGGGGCCUUCUGGUUUGGUGUCAACAGCUCACAGGAGCGUGAACCAUGAGGGCCCUCAGGAGGGGAAUGUGGUAAAACCCAAGACAUUAAAUCUGCCAUCUCAGGCCUGGCUGGCUCUUCUGUGCUUUCCACAAAUAAAGUUCCUGACACGUCCAGGGCCAGGGGCUCUGUGACGGCUGCCUGAAGUUCUCCUCGAUCCCCGGGUGAGCUUCCUGCAGCCUGUGGAUGUCCUGCAGCCCCUCAGCCCUACCCCCCAAGUUUCUCCUCUGACCCAUCAGCUCCCUGUCUUCAUUUUCCUAAACCUGGGCUCCAGCAUCAUCCCCAAGCCCACCAGGCCCGGAUGCAGGCAUCCACAUGCCCUCCUCCUUGGCUUCCCCUGCGUGGUGGUGCCAAUGUGCCCUGGCACCCCUGCAGAGGCUCCGGAUGGAGCCUGGGGCUGCCUGGCCACUGAGCACUGGCCGAGGUGAUGCCCACCCUUCCCUGGACAGGCCUCUGUCUUCCACCUGACCCAAAGCUCUCUGGCCACCCCCUUGUCCCCAGGUAU
rnacentral:sRNA from 1 species